rnacentral:rRNA from 1 species
UACGGAGGGGGCUAGCGUUGUUCGGAAUUACUGGGCGUAAAGCGCACGUAGGCGGCUUUGUAAGUUAGAGGUGAAAGCCCGGAGCUCAACUCCGGAAUUGCCUUUAAGACUGCAUCGCUUGAAUCAUGGAGAGGUGAGUGGAAUUCCGAGUGUAGAGGUGAAAUUCGUAGAUAUUCGGAAGAACACCAGUGGCGAAGGCGACUCACUGGACAUGUAUUGGCGCUGAGGUGCGAAAGCGUGGGGAGCAAACAGG